AAUACUCCUCUAAUGACCAGGCCGAGCGUACACCGCGCUCGGCACCACUUCGAAGAAGAAGGA
rnacentral:ncRNA from 1 species